CGCACUGUGGCUUAAUGGUUAGCACGUUCGCCUCACACCUCCAGGGUCCGGGGCUCGAGUCCCUGUGCUGCGG